rnacentral:sRNA from 1 species
UUUUAUGAUAUGUUAGACGUAUCGAACAAUCUGUUAUAUGAAAGUUGUCGGGAAGGACAUUCUCCUUUAUUCGUUGCAACAAAGAUGAUGAAUAUAAGGACGUAUUAGAAUUUUUCUAAAGAUUUUGUAGAUGUUUGGUCCAAACAUCAUCCUUGUGUAAAUGGCUUGGCCGAGCAUUAUCUUUCCCAAAAUCGACCCAAACAUCUACACAAUCUUCAGACAAAUUGUAAUCCGUCUUUAUAUUCAUCAUCCUUGUUGCAGCGAAUAAAGGAGAAUGCCCUCAUAUAAAGAACUCUUCGAUGCAUCUCACAUAUCAUAAAAACAUUUUGCUUCUAAAUUUGAUUCAUCUCCUCUAUUUCUAAUUUCCAUAAAAGAUUGC